UACGGGGGGGCAAGCGUUGUUCGGAAUUACUGGGCGUAAAGGGCUCGUAGGUGGCCAACUAAGUCAGACGUGAAAUCCCCAGGCUCAACUUGGGAACUGCGUCUGAUACUGGAUGGCUUGAAUUCGGGAGAGGGAUGCAGAAUUCCAGGUGUAGCGGUGAAAUGCGUAGAUAUCAGGAAGAACACCGGUGGCGAAGGCGGCUUGCUGGGCCAUCACUGACGCUGAGACACGAAAGCGUGGGGAGCGAACAGG
rnacentral:rRNA from 1 species